GGGAAGGCGGGGGACCCGGGACGUCCAAGUGUGAGAACCUCUCUGUGUUUGCAGAAGUGGUGCCUUGGUUGACAUCGUUUCACAGCCGUCAUUUCACUCUGAGUUGGCUGCUGGCGUCGGAGAACGGAGAAGUGGAAUUCCGUCCUUGAAGGAAUAGCAGAAAGAUGCAGUCCAAUCUCUCACUUCCAAGCCAUCGGAUCUGAGUGGGAAAAGAGAUCAGCCCUUCUCAAGAAGCCUUCCCCAUCCCAGCCAAGAGGGAGUUCGGGCCUCAGGUCGGGGCAGGUACCCAUGAAGCAGCCAAAUGUUUGCAAAACAAGCAGCAGGAUGAAGAGACUCAGUCUCCAGAGACAUCCCAAGGUUGCCACAGUCUUGGGAGGGGCGAUGGGAGCCGGGGCCAGGAGGCAGACCUGCCUGGGAAGAGCACGGUCCCCUCCGCUCACCGCCUGGGAUGCCGUGUGCCGAGCAAGGAAGGGCUAACUGGCUGGGAUAAUUGUCCAGUGUUUAUAUUUGAAAAGGGAUACUACACUUCCAGGAUAAUUCCCUCCAGCCUCCUCUUGGGCUAAGAUUUCCAAUUGGUCUAGAAUCUUGAAGAGAAAUCAGGGGCUGAUUACCUGGCUGAGUGGGGUGCAAUCACACCUUUCAAUACUAAUUAUCUGCUCCUUGAGCUCAAUGACAUUGAGCGUCCGGGCUCUGGCUGGGGCCAGCCUUGCUCAGUGGUUUGCAUCACUGGCUUAAGACAAUGAUUUGAACAGACAAAGUGCCCGCACGAUGCCUUGAUAAGCAGGAAAUGAACGCUUGUUUGCAAAUAAGAUUGGGAAAUGUGAUCGGCUUCUUGUUCUGCAUCAGUCUUUGGGUAACUAGCCUUUACUCAUGUAGAAAUAAUAUGUUAGAAGACACGGAGAAAGGGAGCCUUUUUGUAUGACCCUCCCCUGAAACUUUCUGUACCCGAAGCCAGGCAGAAGUAAAUGAAAUUGUUGUUUUGUGCGCUUUUUAUCCCCCUGAAACUAUUCUAGCUUGAAUGUUUCUUUGUGAGGAUUUGGGGAAACGGGUAACGAUUUGAUAUGAAACUUUUUCAGCGUUGGGCCUUAUUCACAUACAUGUCUUUUCCUAGAUGCCUGUUUCUGUUCUCAGCCUUCUGUGACCACUUCCCCCAGGAAG